rnacentral:rRNA from 1 species
ACAGGCUUAACACAUGCAAGUCGAGGGGCAGCAUGGUCUUAGCUUGCUAAGGCCGAUGGCGACCGGCGCACGGGUGAGUAACACGUAUCCAACCUGCCGUCUACUCUUGGACAGCCUUCUGAAAGGAAGAUUAAUACAAGAUGGCAUCAUGAGUCCGCAUGUUCACAUGAUUAAAGGUAUUCCGGUAGACGAUGGGGAUGCGUUCCAUUAGAUAGUAGGCGGGGUAACGGCCCACCUAGUCUUCGAUGGAUAGGGGUUCUGAGAGGAAGGUCCCCCACAUUGGAACUGAGACACGGUCCAAACUCCUACGGGAGGCAGCAGUGAGGAAUAUUGGUCAAUGGGCGAGAGCCUGAACCAGCCAAGUAGCGUGAAGGAUGACUGCCCUAUGGGUUGUAAACUUCUUUUAUAAAGGAAUAAAGUCGGGUAUGUAUACCCGUUUGCAUGUACUUUAUGAAUAAGGAUCGGCUAACUCCGUGCCAGCAGCCGCGGUAAUACGGAGGAUCCGAGCGUUAUCCGGAUUUAUUGGGUUUAAAGGGAGCGUAGAUGGAUGUUUAAGUCAGUUGUGAAAGUUUGCGGCUCAACCGUAAAAUUGCAGUUGAUACUGGAUAUCUUGAGUGCAGUUGAGGCAGGCGGAAUUCGUGGUGUAGCGGUGAAAUGCUUAGAUAUCACGAAGAACUCCGAUUGCGAAGGCAGCCUGCUAAGCUGCAACUGACAUUGAGGCUCGAAAGUGUGGGUAUCAAACAGG